rnacentral:rRNA from 1 species
UUCGCAAUGCCCGAAAGGGUGACGAAGCGACGCCGCGUGGGUGAGGAAGGCCUUCGGGUUGUAAAGCCCUGUCAGGAGUUAAGAAAUGUAAGUGUGUUAAUACCACAUUUAUUUGACGAAGGCUCCAAAGGAAGCCACGGCUAACUCUGUGCCAGCAGCCGCGGUAAUACAGAGGUGGCAAGCGUUGUUCGGAAUUAUUGGGCGUAAAGAGCACGUAGGUGGGUUUGUAAGUCAGAUGUGAAAGCCUUCUGUUCAACGGAAGAAUUGCAUCUGAAACUACAGAUCUUGAGUGUAGGAGGGGAGAGUGGAACUUCUGGUGGAGCGGUGAAAUGCGUAGAUAUCAGAAGGAACGUCGGCGGCGAAAGCGACUCUCUGGCCUAUUACUGACACUGAGUGUGCGAAAGCUAGGGGAGCAAACGGGAUUAGAUACCCCGGUAGUCCUAGCCGUAAACGAUGGGCACUAAGUAGAGGGGUUUU